ensembl:lncRNA
UGAAGUUUGAAUCUAAAUCAGUCAAAUCAGACUCAUCCCUUCAAUUAAAAUGAGGGAGGUCAUUUAAGAUCAAACACAGAGCUGAAAUAGCCUCUCACUGUUACCAAGAAGACCACAGGGUGCCGAACCUGCCAGGUGUUUUUCUUAAUUAGUUAAUUGGUUGCAUCUGGUGCGUUUCACUUAAAAGGGAACCGGACACUACAUGUGUUUGUACUGUCUCUUCCAGUUUCAUAGGUUAAAGACUUUUUGAAGUAAAGAGGAGCAUCUCAUCUGAACCUGAUGUGAGUAGACGUGACUUGUAUGUUGAAUAUAAAUCACUGAUAAUGUGUGAAGGAAAUCGGGGAUUGUGGUGGUUUUACUCUCAUUUGAAAUGUGGACCAUGAGUAAACUGUUCCUUCCUUCAAAGGUCUAUCUUGGAUAUUUAACUGCAGUUCUGUGAGUAUCCCAACUUAACCAUGAAGAUGAACUGCAAACUGUAAGUCAUUAAUUUGUCAUUACUCUUGGGCACAUUGAUGUAUUUUGGCUUCCUGGUGGGUUAACCUGUUACCUGAAGGUUGAUCUGAGUAGUAAGGAUGUUUUAUUGGUUCAUGGGUUACUUAGGUGUUUGGUUUAUGUUGGUUUUAAUGAUUUGUUAAAAUGGUUACAGGCUCCAAGUUAUUGUUGUAAGAUGGAGUAAUGGGUUUGGUUCUGAUAUCUUUAGUCUUCUUUCAUUCUACUCUCCUGAGCUCUGCAUCUUCAUCACAUGAGUGUUGCUCUACUGUGAGGGUGUGGUCUGAGUGAGCAGAGGUGCAUACUGGGAUACAGAGCUGUCUCGAGUCUACAGGUCUGUAGACACGCCCCUUCAGGGGAAACCGAGUUUUUGAGAAACCGUCGUGACGUUAGUUACAUGGACUGGAAUGUUCUUAAAGAUGGAGACAGGGAUUCAGAAGGAGAAACACCAGGGGGAGAUGAGGGGCUCCUCAUCUCAACGACUAAAACACAACUUCAGUCUGACACAAAGAACCAUGGAACACAUUCAACAGUCCCCUCCAGGCAUCGUGACUCCUCAGGAACAGUUUCAUUUCCAAGAAGGUCUUAUUUGGGGCCAUCCCCAUAUGGAUCCUGCUCCUCAAGAGCCAACCCCCUCCACUGGGUGGUCUUCUGAACAGAUGACCUCCUUCCUGUCCUCAGGCUGACUAAAGCUGCACCGUUUGCAUCUGUGAAGGCCCCUCAUUCAGGAAACCACUGGACUACAAAGACGUGACUACAGAGACGUUGAAUCAACCUGGGACAUCAACCUGAGACGCCAAGCAUAAUCCAUCACCAAUGUGGGACGCCACUGAAGAAUGUUGUACAUAAUUUACGUCUCUGGAGACAUUGGUUGUUCUGUUCUGGGUGCCCUGGCAGGAGAGCUGGGGGUGGAUGAUGGAAUGGUAUUUGCUAUGAGGUUUUUACCCUGCAUGAUUGUUUGGCCUUUUAUGGCUCAGUGGUGUGUGUGUGUGUGUGUGUGUGUUUGACAUGAGAUGGAAGAUUUUUGAGCAUCUCUAGGGUUCUACUGUGUGUGUGUGUGUGUGUGUGUGUGUGUGUGUGUGUGUGUCACUCCCUGGCAUGGGGUUCUACGUGCCUGUCCUGGGUUCUAUGUGUGUGUGUGUCCGGCUUGCUUUGACAGUGAUAAUGUUCAUACGGGGGUCUGUGUGAUUGGCUUGGGAUAUUGGAAUGGUCAACUAAAUCAUACCUGAUGGACGGCCACACGUUUACUUAAGGGCCUCCAGUAGACAUGAAGAGCCCUGAGCGACGCUCCGGAGUGAGAUCCAACACACUGGGCAGGAAGGAGAGUGUCCAACUCAAGUGUAAAAGGAUGCAAGCGGCGUGUUCAGAUCAGUGACUUCAAACUAGGACUACACCAAUCAGGAUCAAUGGAGGAUGGACACCUAAAGGAAUUCCACAAGGAGAGUGACGUUGGAAAGGGACCUAAAUGGAUGUUCAAGAUGACCUUCAGACCUGUAAUGAGACGGCUCUUCCUACCUGGCUGGAUUGAUGGAGAGCCCUGUGGAUCUUGUCUUGCUCUCAGUUGCACUUCUUCUCAGGCUGAACUGUAUUUGUUUCGGACAGGACUAGCUGAACGAUUGGUUCCCUUUUAACCAGAACCAAUCCGGGAACUCCAGCUAGUGCGCUCUUCGAGCUGAAGUUGUGCUCUUCAGCUGAGGAGGUAAGGAAACCUUCACUGGGGCUUCAAGGUGUAAAGAGGAGAAUGUUUCAAAGUGUUCUAUGGUACUCUGAUGAAGACCGUUGUGUUCCACUGGCUGCGAGGAAGAACCCUCACAUCUUCCUCUUGGCCUUUCUCCUCUGAGAAUCCUGGCGCCAUCUUGAAGGAUAUUCCAGCUCAUGUAACUGAUGUCACGACAGAUUCUCAAACACUUGGUUUCUCCUGAGGGGCGCGUCUAUGGAACUGAAGACUUCCGACAGCACUGUAUCCCAGCAUGCAUCUCUGCUCACUCAGACCACACCCCCAUGAGUAGGAUGCAACACUCUAGUGAUGGAGUUGUAGAGUUUUAUAAGUAACUAGGGAGCAGACUAAGGUGAUUGGAACCCAAUGGAAUGUCAAGUCUGUAUAUUUUUAAGCCAUGAAGAUGGUUGGAUAGUUCAGGAAUUGGGCUUCUUUUUAUUAUUGGCAGUCCUUUCACUCAGAUGCCCACUUCUCACUGGAGCUGUACAUGUGAUGGCUGGCAUGAUUCGCUGUUGGUGAUGAGGCGGUCAGGGUGACGUUGCAGGGCUAUGGUCGGCUCUCUGUGAGCUCAACGUUUAGAUUUGCUCUGUAUGGUUUGUACCCUGAAUAAUCUAGAUAAUUGUAAAAUGUAGACACGGUUUUGUAUUGAAUGAUUCCCGGUUUUUAGGUUUAAGGUUGUUGUGGGACGUACAUGGUAGUUUGGUUCUUCGUAUGGUUUUGAGUGAUAUAACUUGUACACACCGGGUGCAUAAUAAUGUAAAGGUACACUGAAUAGUAUUAAUGACCAACAGCAACAAACAGAUCUCCUCAAGGUAAGUCUGUUGGCUGUGUUCUAAUGAAGACCAUCGCUGGACUUCAGGAUCUUCCUCCGUUCAGCUCAAGGUGAGGCGCUGGUUCUGUUUUUUCUUUGGUUGGUUCCGGCCGGAAUGUUCGUAUUCCAGUCGGACGGUUUGUGCUUCCCGCCGUGGAAGGUUCUGAGUGCGGUCACUUGAUUUAGUCCCAAUGGUUAGCAUAGAACGUUGUAGUCUUGACAACCAUAAUAAACCACCUGGCAGUUAGUUUGACGGGAGUCCCCUGAGGGAAUCUGGCGGAACGUUCUUGAUUGUAUUUGCGUAACCUCGAGGCGUUGCCAAUGGAAACAAUUUUUUCAGUCGGUUUCCAUUGGGAAUUGUUGCCCCUAUCUUAAACAACUAAAGUUUGAUAUUAAAUACAUACUGAGACGUACGUCGUACAAUACGUUGAUAAUUUCCGAUGGUUGCGCCGUACUUUUAACCACGAUGACGUUGCGGGACUCUCUGCGUUCAAAACGGCGUUCUACUUGCGGGCCCAUUUUUGACAUCAGUGAAGGCUGAAAAUCAUUUCAAGGUGGAAGAUAAUUUGACAUUUCUUCAACGGAACCCAGCACCUGAAUAUGGCUGAGUAUAUUUGAUUUAAUAUCGAUACUGCUUAGUGUUCUUUGUUACUUCAGCUUUCGUACGUUCUAAAUAUCUGGUGUCAAUAAUUGCCACAGAAGUUAAACCCUACCCAAUGGAAUGACGUUAAACAACGACUUUGGUGCAGAGUUACCAACUGGAUAAUAUCAAAGCUAAAAUAAUGGCCGUCAUUCCCACAUGUUACAGUAGAAGAUACUCUAGAACUGUACAAGGUUAAAAAGGUAAAGUGUAGUUUGUCCCAAGGUGUCUGCCUCCUCACCCAGAGCCAGACCUCCACCUCCUCACCCAGAGCCAGACCUCCACCUCCUCACCCAGAGCCAGACCUCCACCUCCUCACCCAGAGCCAGACCUCCACCUCCUCACCCAGAGCCAGACCUCCACCUCCUCACCCAGAGCCAGACCUCCACCUCCUCACCCAGAGCCAGACCUCCACCUCCGGUCAGAAGUCCUCCAGAACAGACCAGGACUCUGUCUGAGGAGAGCUGCUGGAGGAGCUGAGACGCUGGAGGACGACUAGGAAUCGACCAACAAGGAUUCCUCAACGUGUUUCUGGAGCGGAGGCGAGCUGAUUGGGGAGCCGUGAAUCUGGAGGAUGACCAUCAUUCUACCAAACAGGGUUGUUAGUUUGUAUUAACCAAACAAACUGGAAAUAAAGGGCUUAAAAAUAGGACAAACUACAUGUUUGUUACCAGACUUUAGGGCCAGACUCGCGCUGUUUGUUCCAGACCAGGACUCUGGCUGAGGAGAGCUGAUGGAGGAGCCAAGACUCUGGAGGACGACAUCACUCCACCAACCAGGAUCCUUACCAGGAAUCUGGAGGACUGAUGGAGAAGCCGUACAUCUGGAAGGCAAAUCCUGAGGACCACCAGGACUCUACCAUCAAGGAUUCCUCAUAAAUGUGCAGUAUCUGGACAUAGUGGACUAGACACAGCUGAGCUGAACCUCACCUGAUCCUGUUUGGUCGGGGGUAGACAGACCUGAGCUAAACCCGCCCUGAUCCUGACAUCCUGCUGGUCCCGUCUCCUCAGUUCAUCUGAGCCUCGUCCUCCAGAAGACCUGCUGAGCUCAGCAGUCUGAGGCUGAUGGAUCAAUGACCUCCAGUGGGAGUGUUCUUCUUGACCCCACAAGUAACCGUGUGCUUCCACACGCCUUUCCCUCACGUCUGUCACUAACCUCACUACUUCACUACUCUCUACUGCUUCCUCUUUUUUUUCCUUCUGUGGUUCGAACCUUUACACGGAAGGCGCGUCUUCCUGCCCUCAGAGGGUUUAGCGUUAGGGUUGAGUGUCAGGGUUUAGAGUCAGGGACAGAGCUGGUCAGGGAGGACUGCUUUUACAAAAACCUCUUCACUUGCUUUCGGAAUGGUGGUGACAUUUUGAAAAGAUUAAUUUGGGAAAAUGUUUUCCUCUGCUUUCCUUUACAAAAUUGUAUCAAACUUAUGUCAAGUGUUUUUGUUUAUAUAUUAAAAUCCCACAUUGACUUCUACAUGUUUGUUACGGUUCAUUUAAUUGUCCUUUAACUUGGUUAUGUCAAGCUAAACUCCCGCAAUACAUUUAAUAUACAUGAUUGUUAUUCUGCAAUGUUCACAUAAUCCAUUUUGUAAAAAUAUGAAACCUCCAUAUUACU